rnacentral:rRNA from 1 species
CGGGGAGGCAGCAGUAGGGAAUCUUCCACAAUGGGCGCAAGCCUGAUGGAGCAACACCGCGUGAGUGAAGAAGGGUUUCGGCUCGUAAAGCUCUGUUGUUAAAGAAGAACACGUAUGAGAGUAACUGUUCAUACGUUGACGGUAUUUAACCAGAAAGUCACGGCUAACUACGUGCCAGCAGCCGCGGUAAUACGUAGGUGGCAAGCGUUAUCCGGAUUUAUUGGGCGUAAAGAGAGUGCAGGCGGUUUUCUAAGUCUGAUGUGAAAGCCUUCGGCUUAACCGGAGAAGUGCAUCGGAAACUGGAUAACUUGAGUGCAGAAGAGGGUAGUGGAACUCCAUGUGUAGCGGUGGAAUGCGUAGAUAUAUGGAAGAACACCAGUGGCGAAGGCGGCUACCUGGUCUGCAACUGACGCUGAGACUCGAAAGCAUGGGUAGCGAACAGGAUUAGAUACCCUGGUAG